UACGGGGGGGGCAAGCGUUGUUCGGAAUUACUGGGCGUAAAGGGCUCGUAGGUGGCCAACUAAGUCGGACGUGAAAUCCCUCGGCUUAACCGGGAAACUGCGUCUGAUACUGGAUGGCUUGAGUUCGGGAGAGGGAUGCGGAAUUCCAGGUGUAGCGGUGAAAUGCGUAGAUAUCUGGAGGAACACCGGUGGCGAAGGCGGCAUCCUGGACCGACACUGACGCUGAGGAGCGAAAGCCAGGGGAGCAAACGGG
rnacentral:rRNA from 1 species